rnacentral:tRNA from 1 species
UUGAUGGUUUUUAUAAGAGUUGUAAACUCUUUUUUAUUUGCCAUUGUAGCCUUAAGA